rnacentral:rRNA from 1 species
GAUGAACGCUGGCGGCGUGCCUAAUACAUGCCAGUCGAGCGAACAGACGAGGAGCUUGCUCCUCUGACGUUAGCGGCGGACGGGUGAGUAACACGUGGAUAACCUACCUAUAAGACUGGGAUAACUUCGGGAAACCGGAGCUAAUACCGGAUAAUAUAUUGAACCGCAUGGUUCAAUAGUGAAAGACGGUUUUGCUGUCACUUAUAGAUGGAUCCGCGCCGCAUUAGCUAGUUGGUAAGGUAACGGCUUACCAAGGCAACGAUGCGUAGCCGACCUGAGAGGGUGAUCGGCCACACUGGAACUGAGACACGGUCCAGACUCCUACGGGAGGCAGCAGUAGGGAAUCUUCCGCAAUGGGCGAAAGCUUGACGGAGCAACGCCGCGUGAGUGAUGAAGGUCUUCGGAUCGUAAAACUCUGUUAUUAGGGAAGAACAAAUGUGUAAGUAACUAUGCACGUCUUGACGGUACCUAAUCAGAAAGCCACGGCUAACUACG